UUAACCCAUUUAACAACUCAACCCAUCAAAUUAAAUGAGUUAUGGGUUGACCCAACCCAUUCAACAAAAUGGGUUCGGUCAACCCAUAACUCAUUUAACCCUAAACUCAUUUGAUUAUGAGU
rnacentral:pre_miRNA from 1 species